CUUGACUGUGGCUUGGAAUUGGGUUCGGGCUCUUCUUGCGCAGCCUAGGCGGGAGGCGUUGAAGGUUUUCUUUCGGGGAAACUGGAGCCAACAGUGAGAGACCACUCUGGAGGAGCUAGAAUUCUAAUGGCGCUCCUUGAAGCAGGACGCUUGACAGUUUCAGGUGGGCAGUUUGACUGGGGCGGUCACCUCCUAAAAGGUAACGGAGGUGUGCAAAGGUUCCCUCAGGCUGGACGGAAAUCAGCCGGAGAGUGUAAAGGCAGAAGGGAGCUUGACUGCAAGACCUACAAGUCGAGCAGGGGCGAAAGCCGGCCUUAGUGAUCCGACGGUUCCAUGUGGAAGGGCCGUCGCUCAACGGAUAAAAGUUA
rnacentral:rRNA from 1 species